GAGACCCCAGUGCUGGAGGAGACUCAGUGUAGGUGGAGAUUCAAUGCAGGUGCAGACCUGCAGUGUGGGUGGAGACCCUAGUGAGGGACAGACUCAGUGCAGAUGCAAACUCAAUGCAGGUGCAGACAGAGCAGGUGGAGACCCCAGUGCAGGUGCAGACAGAGCAGGUGGAGACCUCAGGGCAGGUGCACACAGCAGGUGGAGACCUCAGGGCAGAUGCACACAGAGAGCAGGUGGAGACCUCAGGGCAGAUGCACACAGAGCAGGUGGAGACCUCAGGGCAGAUGCACACAGAGCAGGUGGAGACCUCAGGGCAGGUGCAGACAGAGCAGGUGGAGACCCCAGUGCAGGUGCAGACAGAGCAGGUGGAGCUCCCUCUUGCAUCUGAGUGCCCAGUCCUGCCUUUCUUUCUGUGCUGUCUUCUACUUAAGUUGCCUUCACCAUUGCAAAAUAAUCUGAAUAAUCCAGUCCCUGGUUGGGGACAUGGUGGCACACACCCUUAAAAUCUGAGCAUUGGGAAGCAGAGACAGGUAGAACUCUGAGUUCAAAGCCAGCUUGGUCUACACAAAUUCCAUGCCAGCCAGAGCUAUAAAUAGACACCCAGUCUCAACAAACAACUGAAAACAAUGCAGUCCCUACAACACCACUAAAUCUUUUCUCCUUUGCCCAUCAACGUAUUCCCCAUUCCUUAGACCUUAAGAGGACUGAAGAGUGCGUGUGCAUGUGU
rnacentral:lncRNA from 1 species